AUUUGCACAGAGGACGCUGGAGGAAGAGGAUGGCAGAGAGAAGUUGAAGGAUCCUCAUUGCUUCAAGUGUCUGGGGACAUCCCGUUGUGACAGCAUCUGUUUUAUUUGGUGCCACUGAAUUUGGACAUGAAAAUCUUUGCCUUUUUCUUUGCUGUGCUCCUCUUAAUGCUGCAGGGCACUUCAGGUUUCCUGCGUGCCCCCAACACCGAGGGGCAGUGCAGACAGGCUGGGGGGGUCUGUUCCCGGGACCACUGCCCCCAGCCCCACAGCAGACCCUUUGGACGCUGCCAGCAGGGAAUUCCCUGCUGUAGGACCGUGUAUGAUUAAUGGCCACUGACAUCUCAGAUGGGCUGACCAGAGCUUCUGGUAAUUUAAGGGAUGCAUCAUCCCAUUGGAAAAUCUGGAAUUCUGAGCAGAAAAUAUUCAGGCAUUUGGCACAUACAAGCACUUGCCACAAUGUGAAGAACAGAAAGAGAAAAAACCCCUCCACAAACAGCCUUAAGGACCUGAAGAAACUCCAAAGAAAUUCUUGAACAACACAGAAAAGACCAAUACUUUUUCAUUUUUAAAAAUGUUUUGCUGCUGAAAUUUUAUUGUGUCAACCAACAUCUGUCCCAGAGAGGUCACCAGUGUGCAGGAGUCUGUGCCCAUGAGAGGAUGCAAAGUUAUUCUUUUGGCCCUUAGAACAGCUAUUCUUUUAUUAUUGUUAUUAUUUUAUUUUCCUUUUGGAGUCAAAAAUAAUGUGAAUAAUGCCAGAAUGCUCAGCUAAGGUGUUUAUAUUUCAUAGUCUACACCUCUCAAUAAAUUUUAAUAAAGAUGCUCUGGAAGAU